AGGUAAGCUUCUUGUCCUGACUGCUGAAA
rnacentral:piRNA from 2 species